GGUGAACGCUGGCGGCGUGCUUAAGACAUGCAAGUCGAACGGGCUCUUCGGAGCCAGUGGCGCACGGGUGAGUAACGCGUAACUGACCUACCCCAAAGUCGCGGAUAACGAUUCGAAAGAAUCGCUAAUACGUGAUGUGCUGUCAGAUCCUGUUCUGCCAGUAAAGAUUUAUUGCUUUGGGAUGGGGUUGCGUUCCACCAGCUAGUUGGUGGGGUAAAGGCCCACUAAGGCGACGACGGAUCGCCGGCCUGAGAGGGUGGCCGGCCACAGGGGCACUGAGACACGGGUCCCACUCCUACGGGAGGCAGCAGUUAGGAAUCUUCCACAAUGGGCGAAAGCCUGAUGGAGCGACGCCGCGUGAGGGAUGAAGGUCUUCGGAUCGUAAACCUCUGAAUCAGGGACGAAAGACGCGAAAGCGGGAUGACGGUACCUGAGUAAUAGCACCGGCUAACUCCGUG
rnacentral:rRNA from 1 species